UACGGAGGGCGCAAGCGUUGUUCGGAAUCAUUGGGCGUAAAGCGCGUGUAGGCGGCCAGGUAAGUCGGGUGUGAAAGCCCGGGGCCCAACCCCGGAACUGCACUCGAUACUGCUUGGCUGGAGUCCCGGAGAGGAAGGCGGAAUUCCCGGUGUAGAGGUGAAAUUCGUAGAUAUCGGGAGGAACAUCAGUGGCGAAGGCGGCCUUCUGGACGGUGACUGACGCUGAGACGCGAAAGCGUGGGGAGCAAACAGG
rnacentral:rRNA from 1 species